UACGUAGAGCGCAAGCGUUAUCCGGAAUUAUUGGGCGUAAAGAGCUCGUAGGCGGUUUGUCGCGUCUGCCGUGAAAGUCCGGGGCUCAACUCCGGAUCUGCGGUGGGUACGGGCAGACUAGAGUGAUGUAGGGGAGACUGGAAUUCCUGGUGUAGCGGUGAAAUGCGCAGAUAUCAGGAGGAACACCGAUGGCGAAGGCAGGUCUCUGGGCACUUAACUGACGCUGAGGAAGCGAAAGCAUGGGGAGCGAACAGG
rnacentral:rRNA from 1 species